CUCUUCGGGGACGCACGGUUGGAAGUUGUACCGUGACGUGAUGGUCAGAUCGGAUGAUAGAAUUUUGAAACCUCCCCAGCAUUAAGGCAAGAAAGGUGUCUCUGUUUUUUCCGAAGUGUGCCUGCUUGACUCCUUUGAUUUUUCUCUGGGAUUCUUCAUCCUCCAUCAAGUUGAUCGAUCCCUCUGGAUCUUGGUCAGUUUCCUGACAUCUCUAUGAAGUUCAGUGACCCAGACUGAGUCCACGUCUCAAAUAAGGUUCUGACUAAUGCAGAGUCUAACAGAAAGAUUACUGAACAUGUCAUGCACUAUUAAUAACUCCUGUUAUCGAGGAUUUUUUUUUCACAAUAGGAAUGAACAGAGUUCUGACUCACUCUAGGUUUGUGGUAAAUUGCAGAUCACUUUCUGCUUUAUUUAGCGGGAGUCCCUGUUGUCAUCUUUCUCCUUCUCUCUUGGCCCUCAUAAUUAUCAUAUCUUCCCCAAACGUUCUUCAGCUGUGAAUAGCCCUAAGCACUAUUCAGAGUGAGUGACAGCUCUCUUAUUUCGUGCUGGGGGACAUACAAACCCUUGGACAAACACUUGUCACUGUGUGCCAAGAAGCUGAAAAAUUCUUCUUGCCUCAGAGCCAUAAUUACACUUUUGGUAGCAUAUUCUAAGGAAGUCAUCCCAUGUACAGGAAAAGCUGCAAUGUGUCAGGAUGUUCAUUCCAGCAAUAUUUAUAGUAGUGAAAAACUGAAAGCAACCAAAUGCCCAAGAAAAAAAUUACAGUAUAUCCACUGGAUGGAAUAGUAUGAAGCCAUUUAGGACAGAUUGUGAAAACCCUGUGGCAGUAUGGGGAAUGUUUGCUAAGUUAUAUGAAAAGAUGAGGACACAAAAUAGCAUAACAUACAUUCCCCAGGGAUAUAGUCAGCAAAGUCUAGAAUGAAGAAAAUUAGGACAAACACCCAAUUCCCUUAACAAAUAAAACUGGGGCCAGGUAUGGUGACUCACGCCUGUAAUCCCAGCACUUUGAGAGGCCAAGGCUUGUGUCCAGGAGUUCGAGACCAACCUGGACAACAUGGUAAAACCCCGUGGUCUACAAAAAAUACAAAAAUUAGUUGGGCAUGGUGGUGUGUCUAUAGUCCCAGCUACUCAGGAGGCUGAGGUGGGAGGAUCAAUUGAGCCCGGGAGGUCAAGGCUGCAGUGAGCUGUGAUCGUGCCAGUGCAUUCCAGUCUGGGCAGCAGAGUGAGAUCCUGUCUCAAAAAAAAAAAAAAAAAAAAAGGAAAAAAAAGAGGGGGAGAGACUUACAGAUUAAAAUAAAUUAAAUGAUAUAUCAACUAAAAGUCUUAUUUGGAUCCUGAUUCAAGCAAACUGACUUUAAAAAAAAAAAAAAAAAAAAAAAAAAAAAGGCCGGGCAUGGUCACGCAUGCCUGUAACCCCAGUACUUUGGGAGGCCAAGGUAGGCGGAUCACCUGAGGUCAGGAGUUUGACACCAGCCUGGCCAACGUGGUGAAACUCCGUCUCUACUAAAACUACAAAAACUAGCUGGGUGUGGUGAUGGGCGCCUGUAAUCCCAGCUACUCAGGAGGCUGAAGCAAGAGAAUUGCUUGAACCCAGGAGGCAGAGGUUGUAGUGAGCCAAGAUUGCACCAUUGGCACUCCAGCCUGGGUGACUGAGCAAGGCUCUGUCUCAAAAAAAAAAAAAAAAAAAAAAAGAUUUUAUUAAGUUAUCAGGCAAAUUUGAAUACUGACAAGGUAUUCAACGAUAUUAAGGAAUUCUAAAUGUUUAGGCGUGAUAUGGAAUUGUGGUAAGGUUGUUUUUUUAAUUUAAAAAGUCCUCCAUGGCUGGGCGUGGUAGCUCAUGCCUGUAAUCCCAGCACUUUGGGAGGCUCAGGCAGACAGAUCACCUGAGGUCAGGAGUUCGAGACCAGCCUGGCCAACAUGGUGAAACCCCGCCUCUACUAAAAAUACAAAAAUUAGCCAGGCGUGGUGACAGGCGCCUAUAAUCCCAGCUACUUGAGAGGCUGAGGCAGGAGAAUCGCUUGAACCCAGGAGGUGGAGGAUGCAGUGAGCCGAGAUCGUGCCAUUGCACUCCAGCCUGGGAGACAAGAGUGAAACUUCAUCUCAAAAAAAAAAAAAGUCUUCCUUGGCUGGGUGCGUUGGAUCACACCUGUAAUCCCAGCACUUUGGGAGGUGAGGCAGGCAGAUCACAAGGUCAGGAGUUUGAGACCAGCCUGGCCAGCAUGGUGAAAUCCCGUCUCUACUAAAAAUAGAAAAAAAUUAGCCAGGCAUGGUGGCACGUGCCUGUAAUCCCAGCUACUCGGGAGGCUGAGGCAGGAGAAUUACUUGAAACUGGGAGGCAGAGGUUGCAGUGAGCCGAGAUCAUACCACUGUACUCCACCCCGGGUGACAGAGAGAGACUUCGUCUCAAAAAAAAAAAAAAAAAAAAAGUCCUCCUUUCAGACAUACAUACAUACUAAAAUAUCUGUGGAUGAAAUGAUACAGUGAUUGCAUUUGCUUCGAAAUAAUCUGGACUGGGAACCAUAGGGAAAUAAUAAGAUGAGCCAUGAGGUGAUAAUUAUGGAAGCUGUGUGAUGAGGACAUGAAGUUCCUUAUAUUAUUUUCUAUACUUUUUUUUUUUUUUUUUUUUUGAGACAGAGUCUCACUCUGUCACCCAGGCUGGAGCACAGUGGUGCAGUUUCGGCUCACUGCAACCUCCGCCUCCCUAGUUCAAGAGAUUUUCCUGCCUCAGCCUCCCGAGUGGGCUGGGAUUACAGGUGCACGCCACCACAUCCAGGUAAUUUUUGUAUUUUUAGUUGAGACAGGGUUUCACCAUGUUGGCCAGGCUGGUUUUGAACUCCUGACUUCAAGUGAUCUGCCCACCUUGGCCUCCCAAAGUGCUGGGAUUACAGGCAUGAGCCACCACGCCUGGGCUAUUUUCUCUACUUUUUUAAUGUUUAAAACUGUUCAUAAUAAAAAGUCUAAACCUGCAUAUACGUUAAUGAUUAAGAUAAGCCAAAAUAGAGCAGCACUGGUAACAUCCUCUGGCACCAGACUGCCAGGGUUCAACUCGCAGCUCCUCUAGUUACCAGCUGUGUAACCUUAAGCAAGUUACUGAACCUCUCUGUGCUUCAGUUACCUCGUUGCUAAAAGAAUUGGCAAGUGACACUGGUGUUCGGAAAAAAUAAAGUAAAUGAAGAUGGCGAUGAUCAUGAUAAUACCCUCCUCAUGUUGUGGAUAUUAAAUGGGUCAGUAAAUGUGAAAUGAAACACUCAAAACAAUUCCUGGCACAUAAUUAAGUGCUCAGUAUGUGUUGCCUUUUAUUAAUUCAUUCCACAUUUGAAUGAUAUUUGAGCAUCUACUUUACUAGGUUAUGGAAAUUCAACAAAAUAAAAACAGACCUUGGGCCGGGCACUGUGGCUCAAGCCUGUAAUCCCAGCACUUUGGGAAGCUGAGGCGGGAGGAUUGCUUGAGGCCAGGAGUUCAAGACCAGCCUGGCAACGUAAUGAGACCCCCCCCCCACCCAACCACCAUCUCUAUAAAAAACAAAAAUAAAUUAGCCGGGCAUGGUGGCAUGUUCCCGUAGUCCCAGCUACUCAGGAGGCUAAGGCGGGAGGAUCGCUUGAGCCCAAGGAAUUCGAGGCUGCAGUGAGUUAUGAUCUCGCUAGGAAUUCGAGGCUGCAGUGAGUUAUGAUCUCGCUAUUUCACUCCAGCCUGGGCAAUAAAGCAAGCCCUGUCUCUUAAAACAACAACAACCGGGCAUGGUGGCUAGCGCCUGUAAUCCCAGCACUUUGGGAGGCCGAGGCAGGUGGAUCAUCUGAGGUCAGGAGUUCGAGACCAGCCUGGCCAACAUGGUGAAACCCCGUCUCUACUAAAAAUGCAAAAAUUAGCCAGGCAUGGUGGCGCGCCCCUGUAAUCCCAGUUACUAGGAAGACUGAGGUGGGAGAAUUGCUUGAACCCGGGAGGCGGAGGCUGCAGAGAGCAGAGAUGGCGCCAUUUUACUCCAGCCUGGGCAACAAGAGUGGAACUUUGUCUCAAAAAAUA
rnacentral:lncRNA from 1 species